ACUCAAAUGAAUUGACGGGGGCCCGCACAAGCGGUGGAGUAUGUGGUUUAAUUCGAUGCAACGCGAAGAACCUUACCUACUCUUGACAUGGUGCGAAUCUGAUAGAGAUAUCGGAGUGCCGAAAGGAACGCACACACAGGUGCUGCAUGGCUGUCGUCAGCUCGUGUCGUGAGAUGUUGGGUUAAGUCCCGCAACGAGCGCAACCCUUAUCUUUAGUUACCAUCAUUCAGUUGGGGACUCUAGAGAGACUGCCGAUCUAUGAUCGGAGGAAGGGGGGGAUGACGUCAAGUCAUCAUGGCCCUUACGAGUAGGGCUACACACGUACUACAAUGGUCGGUACAGAGGGACGCAAGACCGCGAGGUGGAGCAAAUCCCACAAAGCCGAUCGUAGUCCGGAUUGGAGUCUGCAACUCGACUCCAUGAAGCCGGAAUCGCUAGUAAUCGCAGAUCAGAAUGCUGCGGUGAAUACGUUCCCGGGCCUUGUACACACCGCCCGU
rnacentral:rRNA from 1 species